GAUGAACGCUGGCGGCGUGCCUAAUACAUGCAAGUCGAGCGAACAGACGAGGAGCUUGCUCCUCUGACGUUAGCGGCGGACGGGUGAGUAACACGUGGAUAACCUACCUAUAAGACUGGGAUAACUUCGGGAAACCGGAGCUAAUACCGGAUAAUAUAUUGAACCGCAUGGUUCAAUAGUGAAAGACGGUUUUGCUGUCACUUAUAGAUGGAUCCGCGCCGCAUUAGCUAGUUGGUAAGGUAACGGCUUACCAAGGCAACGAUGCUUAGCCGACCUGAGAGGGUGAUCGGCCACACUGGAACUGAGACACGGUCCAGACUCCUACGGGAGGCAGCAGUAGGGAAUCUUCCGCAAUGGGCGAAAGCCUAACGGAGCAACGCCGCGUGAGUGAUGAAGGUCUUCGGAUCGUAAAACUCUGUUAUUAGGGAAGAACAAAUGUGUAAGUAACUAUGCACGUCUUGACGGUACCUAAUCAGAAAGCCACGGCUAACUACGUG
rnacentral:rRNA from 1 species